rnacentral:rRNA from 1 species
GUGUCAGCAGCCGCGGUAAUACGGAGGGUGCAAGCGUUAAUCGGAAUUACUGGGCGUAAAGCGUGCGUAGGCGGUUGUUUAAGUCAGAUGUGAAAGCCCCGGGCUUAACCUGGGAACGGCAUUUGAUACUGGGCAACUAGAGUGUGGUAGAGGAGAGCGGAAUUUCCGGUGUAGCGGUGAAAUGCGUAGAUAUCGGAAGGAACACCAGUGGCGAAGGCGGCUCUCUGGACCAACACUGACGCUGAGGUACGAAAGCGUGGGUAGCAAACAGGAUUAGAUACCCUGGUAGUCCACGCCGUAAACGAUGUCAACUAGCCGUUGGGUCUUUCAAAAGACUUAGUGGCGCAGCUAACGCAAUAAGUUGACCGCCUGGGGAGUACGGCCGCAAGGUUAAA